UCCGGUGCGCCCCCGGCGGC
rnacentral:snRNA from 1 species